GCUUGCUCCCUUAGGUUAGCGGCGGACGGGUGAGUAACACGUGGGUAACCUGCCUGUAAGACUGGGAUAACUCCGGGAAACCGGGGCUAAUACCGGAUGCUUGAUUGAACCGCAUGGUUCAAUUAUAAAAGGUGGCUUUUAGCUACCACUUACAGAUGGACCCGCGGCGCAUUAGCUAGUUGGUGAGGUAACGGCUCACCAAGGCGACGAUGCGUAGCCGACCUGAGAGGGUGAUCGGCCACACUGGGACUGAGACACGGCCCAGACUCCUACGGGAGGCAGCAGUAGGGAAUCUUCCGCAAUGGACGAAAGUCUGACGGAGCAACGCCGCGUGAGUGAUGAAGGUUUUCGGAUCGUAAAACUCUGUUGUUAGGGAAGAACAAGUACCGUUCGAACAGGGCGGUACCUUGACGGUACCUAACCAGAAAGCCACGGCUAACUACGUGCCAGCAGCCGCGGUAAUACGUAGGUGGCAAGCGUUGUCCGGAAUUAUUGGGCGUAAAGCGCGCGCAGGCGGUUUCUUAAGUCUGAUGUGAAAGCCCCCGGCUCAACCGGGGAGGGUCAUUGGAAACUGGGGAACUUGAGUGCAGAAGAGGAGAGUGGAAUUCCACGUGUAGCGGUGAAAUGCGUAGAGAUGUGGAGGAACACCAGUGGCGAAGGCGACUCUCUGGUCUGUAACUGACGCUGAGGCGCGAAAGCGUGGGGAGCGAACAGGAUUAGAUACCCUGGUAGUCCACGCCGUAAACGAUGAGUGCUAAGUGUUAGAGGGUUUCCGCCCUUUAGUGCUGCAGCAAACGCAUUAA
rnacentral:rRNA from 1 species